AUUGAACGCUGGCGGCAGGCCUAACACAUGCAAGUCGAACGAGUGGCGGACGGGUGAGUAAUGUCUGGGAAACUGCCUGAUGGAGGGGGAUAACUACUGGAAACGGUAGCUAAUACCGCAUACCAUCCACUGUGCCCAGAUGGCAUUAGCUCGUUGGUGGGGUAACGGCUCACCAAGGCGACGCUCCCUAGCUGGUCUGAGAGGAUGACUAGCCACACUGUAACUGAGACACGGCCCAGACUCCUACGCGAGGCAGCAGUGGGGAAUAUUGCACAAUGGGCGCAAGCCUGAUGCAGCCAUGCCGCGUGUAUGAAGAAGGCCUUCGGGUUGUAAAGUACUUUCAGCGGGGAGGCGUUAGCAGAAGAAGAAGCACCGGCUAACUCCGUGCCAGCAGCCGCGGUAAUAG
rnacentral:rRNA from 1 species